AUUUAUUGUUUGCUUGUUUGUUUUAUGAAUGAUUUUUGCUCCAUGUACAGCACUUUGUAUACAGCGGUGGUUGUUUUAAAGUGUUCUAUAAAUACAGUCGAGUUGACUAAUGAAUAGCGCUGACAUGAAACGCUUUCACCUUUUAUCAUCUAUUGCAAACAAUUAACAAGCCGCAUAGAUGUUAAACUCCAACCAUGUCACAGACUCACUGUGACCCUUACAAUGCGUAAAACAGUGAAAACUUUCUGAUUCCGAUGGCAUGGGACCUCAAAAACACAUUUAAAGCUCAAGCUGAAGCAAAACAAAAACAUUGCACACGGCAUGAACUGGAAACAAACAAGAAUCACUGUUUCAAAUAAACAGUUCAAUGAAAUUCAACAUGCGCUAUAUUAAGGUACGGUACUUAUGAAGCAUGACAGGGGCUUAUUCAAAAGUAAAAUCGCAACAUUUUUAAAAGUCUCCACAUUAAAAAAAACAAA